rnacentral:sRNA from 1 species
GCCAGGCACGGUGGCUCACACCUGUAAUCCCAACAUUUUUGGAGGCUGAGGUGGGAGGAUCACUUGAGCCCAGGAGUUCGAGUCCAGCCUGGGCAACAGAGCAAGACUCCGUCUCAAAAAAAAAAAAAAAGGAAAAUUUACAAAGCCAAAUACGAUUAUUAUUAUUAGUAUUUUAAUAGAGAUGAGGUCUCACUAUGUUGCCCAGGCUGGUCUCGAACUCCUGGGCUCAAGUGAUCCUCCCACCUCA